rnacentral:rRNA from 1 species
CUCCUACGGGAGGCAGCAGUGGGGAAUUUUGGACAAUGGGCGCAAGCCUGAUCCAGCCAUUCCGCGUGAGUGAAGAAGGCCUUCGGGUUGUAAAGCUCUUUCGGCAGGGAAGAAACAGUUGAGGCUAAUAUCCUUGACCAAUGACGGUACCUGCAUAAGAAGCACCGGCUAACUACGUGCCAGCAGCCGCGGUAAUACGUAGGGUGCGAGCGUUAAUCGGAAUUACUGGGCGUAAAGCGUGCGCAGGCGGUUUUUCAAGUCUGAUGUGAAAGCCCCGGGCUUAACCUGGGAACUGCGUUGGAAACUGAAAGACUAGAGUGCGGCAGAGGGGGGUAGAAUUCCACGUGUAGCAGUGAAAUGCGUAGAUAUGUGGAGGAAUACCGAUGGCGAAGGCAGCCCCCUGGGUCGACACUGACGCUCAUGCACGAAAGCGUGGGUAGCAAACAGGAUUAGAUACCCUGGUAGUCCACGCCCUAAACGAUGUCAACUAGUUGUUGGGGAGGGAGACCUCCUUAGUAACGCAGCUAACGCGUGAAGUUGACCGCCUGGGGAGUACGGUCGCAAGAUUAAAACUCAAAGGAAUUGACGGA